rnacentral:misc_RNA from 1 species
AGGCUAUGGAAGGUUUGAAAUACCUUUAUUUGGCUAACUGCAGAAAUCUUCAGAGUCUUCCGAACAGCAUUGGUAAUUUGAAAAAUCUUGCAGAGCUUGAUUUAAGAGGGACAAUGAUUAAAGAGCUACCCUCGUCCAUUGAGCAUCUAACUGGCCUUGAUCAGUUAGAACUACAGAACUGCAAAAGCCUGGUGAACCUUCCGGACAGCAUUUGCAAUUUAAAAUCCCUG